GCAGCCCGGCCCGUCUGCGGAGGGCCCUGGCCUCGAGGGGGCCCUGCGGAGCCGCCUCUGCCCCUGGCCCGCCCUCCGCAGCCUGUUCAGCCGCGGGGCCACGAGGCUGAUGGAGGCACAGCGGUGGCCUCACCCGGACAGGGCACUGGCUGGCCUGUGACGACGGGAAGGACUAACUCUCAGGAUUGAAAGGGACCUUCUGGGUCAUCUGUUCAAACCUCUCACCCUGUUAUGGAAGAGGAACAGGAUUGGGUUUUGUCAUUCUCCCCACCUCCAGUGAAGACUAGUGGCAGAGACAAAGAAAUGAACAGUUACAAUACAGUGUCAAGAUAGAGGUAAGACUCCGCCCUCCGUGACCUUCUCUGAGUUCCAAAGGGCAGAUCUGAACAGCUGCUAAUCAAGGGAGGAGCAGCCAAGAGACCACCUGAGGCAAGAUUAAAGGGAUCAGAGAAGCUCAUCAAGAUUAGGAGACCUCACCACCUGAGACCCAGCACAGACCCUCAUCUUGUC